rnacentral:rRNA from 1 species
GAUGAACGCUAGCGGCAGGCUUAAUACAUGCAAGUCGAGGGGCAGCAGGUUUGUAGCAAUACAGAUGCUGGCGACCGGCAAACGGGUGCGGAACACGUACACAACCUUCCUUUAAGUGGGGAAUAGCCCAGGGAAACUUGGAUUAAUACCCCGUAAUAUUAUGAAACGGCAUCGUUUUAUAAUUAUAGCUCCGGCGCUUAAAGAUGGGUGUGCGUCUGAUUAGGUAGUUGGCGGAGUAACAGCCCACCAAGCCUACGAUCAGUAACUGGU